GGAGAGGUGGCCGAGUGGUCGAAGGCGCAGCACUGGAAAUGCUGUAAUGGGGUAACUCAUUCGAGGGUUCGAAUCCCUCCCUCUCCG
rnacentral:tRNA from 1 species